CCCCCUUUGGCUUUAGAGUUUGGAUCCUGGCUCAGGAUGAACGCUGGCGGCGUGCCUAAUACAUGCAAGUCGAGCGAAUGGAUUAAGAGCUUGCUCUUAUGAAGUUAGCGGCGGACGGGUGAGUAACACGUGGGUAACCUGCCCAUAAGACUGGGAUAACUCCGGGAAACCGGGGCUAAUACCGGAUAACAUUUUGAACCGCAUGGUUCGAAAUUGAAAGGCGGCUUCGGCUGUCACUUAUGGAUGGACCCGCGUCGCAUUAGCUAGUUGGUGAGGUAACGGCUCACCAAGGCAACGAUGCGUAGCCGACCUGAGAGGGUGAUCGGCCACACUGGGACUGAGACACGGCCCAGACUCCUACGGGAGGCAGCAGUAGGGAAUCUUCCGCAAUGGACGAAAGUCUGACGGAGCAACGCCGCGUGAGUGAUGAAGGCUUUCGGGUCGUAAAACUCUGUUGUUAGGGAAGAACAAGUGCUAGUUGAAUAAGCUGGCACCUUGACGGUACCUAACCAGAAAGCCACGGCUAACUACGUGCCAGCAGCCGCGGUAAUACGUAGGUGGCAAGCGUUAUCCGGAAUUAUUGGGCGUAAAGCGCGCGCAGGUGGUUUCUUAAGUCUGAUGUGAAAGCCCACGGCUCAACCGUGGAGGGUCAUUGGAAACUGGGAGACUUGAGUGCAGAAGAGGAAAGUGGAAUUCCAUGUGUAGCGGUGAAAUGCGUAGAGAUAUGGAGGAACACCAGUGGCGAAGGCGACUUUCUGGUCUGUAACUACACUGAGGCGCAAAGACCUUUA
rnacentral:rRNA from 1 species